CUUCUGUCGUGAAUAAAAAUCAACCUUUUAGCCUAGGUCAAAAACUUCAGAGACCGAGAGUUUAGUAGAUGUCAACUUUAUUGAAAAUCAAUAAUAUACCCAUCUCCAAAGCAUAGUCUUUGUAGUUGGGGUUUUGCUUUUCCUCGUUGAAAUAGACCAACCUUCUUUUGCCACAAUUAAAUAUUCAUGUCUAUGCGUUAUCUUAAAUUUGUGGAACAUGCACAGUUAGUUGUUUUUCUUGAAAAGG